rnacentral:rRNA from 1 species
AUGCCCGAGGCGGAGCACUUCGCCGAGAGGCGGAAUCUGGAGGAUCUUUGGUUGUCGGCCUUCCCCAUUGGAACCGAGCGGGAAAACAUUGACAAGAUAAAGGAGUUCAACUGGAACUUUCAAAAUCUAGAGAAAGCUCUAGAAGAAGGGGGAGAGCUGUAUGGGAAGACAGUUUACUUAUUUGCAAACACCGAACCUCAGCAAUUGCAUGUUAACGGCGAACAGAAGAUAGUACUUGUUCGUACUGUAGUCGCUGUUGAUUGUCCUUGCGCCCCGUCAGAUAAAGUUGGUAUAAAUUCUGUCCAAAGGGCAUAUGAAGAAAUACUACCAAUGAGAGCAAUGAAGAUGUCCUGGGUGCCCUAUGUUCCACUCGAGGACCGGCUCAGCAGGAUUGAGGGUUUGAAAACAAAAAUAUUCACUCUUCAUUGCUCCCAGCGAAGGUCUGCACUGAAGCAUCUGAAAACUGAGCAAGUCAAGAAGUUUGACUACUGCAUGCCAUAUUAUAUGCCGCUUAUUUCUCCUGAAGAGGACCAAGAUACAACUGUCGAUAUCAUAUAUCCUCUAGAACGCUCGAUAGUUUGCCCGUUUGACUGGGAAAUGGAUAAUUAUGAGGAGUUUACUGACGACCUAGUUAAAGCUGAGGAAUUGCCAGAGGAUGAGAGAGAAAAAUUUAAGGAAUUCGUAAAGGAGAAGGUUAGAGAAAGGAAGCGCGAGCUGAAACAGGCCAAAGAAGCCAGAAAAGAAGCUAUUGAUAACAUGGACCCUGAGAAAAAGAAGGCGUUUGAAAACAUCAAAUUUUACAAAUUUUAUCCUGUAAAUGCCCUGGACGCUCCUGAUUUAAGCAUACAAAAGGCAGAUUACAUCAAUAGAUAUUAUAUGAAGGCGCACAAACAGAGUUGA